CUCUCCACUCCUACCUGGCACUAUAAAAACUGAUCUACCAAAAGGCAGCCCCAUCAAGCAGUGCAGCCCGGAGCUGGAAGGAAACAAACUCCUCACAUCAGAUGCAGCAGCUGCCACUAGGGAAAGGCGCUCAGGGGCAAUUGAGCAUACCUCCAGACCUUUGAAUGAGGAUCGGAGCAGGGAUGUGUCUUGCUGGCAACCAAGCUUUUGGGACACGUGUCCAACAGCAACCUGAGCAGGCCAUUCCUUUGGACAAUGAUGACGAAUGUAUCAACAAAAGCCUGCCUCCACCUGCCAAUCCAGCAUCCCUGGGUUCAGCUCAGCUGCUUGCUAGGACAUCAGAGACCUACCUACAUUUUUAAAGACUAAAUAAAGCAAAUGUCACUGUGGUAGAACCCCAA